rnacentral:misc_RNA from 1 species
AUGUGCAGAGAUGGCUAAAGGAGCUCAGGGAUCACACUGAUGCCAACAUUGUGAUCAUGCUGGUAGGAAAUAAGGCAGACCUGCGUCACCUGCGAGCUGUUGCCGCUGAUGAUGCCAAGGGAUUCGCUGAACGAGAGAAUACCUUUUUCAUGGAGACAUCUGCUCUGGAAUCUUUGAACGUGGAGAAUGCAUUCACGGAGGUACUGACCCAGAUCUACCGAGUCGUUAGCAGGAAGGCUCUUGACAUCGGAGAUGACCCAGCAGCUUUGCCCAGAGGACAGACGAUCAAUGUUGGAUCCAAAGAUGAUGUCUCAGCUGUUA